CGCGUCACACCAUGGGAGUGGGUUGCAAAAGAAGUAGGUAGCUUAACCUUCGGGAGGGCGCUUACCACUUUGUGAUUCAUGACUGGGGUGAAGUCGUAACAAGGUAACCGUAGGGGAACCUGCGGUUGGAUCACCUCCUUA
rnacentral:rRNA from 1 species